rnacentral:lncRNA from 1 species
CACAUCUGAGUGCAUACGAAAUAGGGUAAAUAAAAAUAUUUCCUUAAAAUUGACAGUUAAGAAAUUAAUCCAACAUUUCAUUGCAGUAAAAAAAAUCUUGGUCAUAAACAUAUAUCUUCGGUGUUUCAACUGCAUUAUUAUUUUUUCAUUUGGUGUACCUAUAGAAUAUUUUGGAAACUUGAGGUUACAUGGUUACAUCAGCUUGUACACAGGUAAAAAAAGGGGGAUGAACAUUGAAUUGGCUAUCUCCAAGUGAUAGUUAUUUUCUUAUAUGCAAUGAAAUAUUAUGUGAAAUUUUCAUAUUAUUAGAUAUUUACUUUAAAGGUGUCGAUAUUUUCUAGAUUUUUCAAGUUUUCAACAGAUGACAUGAUAUUGAACGUUGUCUUUUUUCUUGAAUUAUGCAUGUGGAUAAAGGGUUUGUCCGACUAAAUAUAGAAGCUACUUGUACAGUUUUCAAGUUGGAACCUUUAUAUUAUAAGACUAUUAGUAAAUAAACUAUAAAUUAUAAAUUAAAAUGACGAACUUCAAA